rnacentral:misc_RNA from 1 species
ACUCAAAUUUCCAUUGAUUACUAUAAUGCAUCAAACAACUUGUUUAACCCUCUAAUCAUUGAAACGAAUUGUUAAUUUAAAGUCAUGUGAUAACAAAGAAAAAAAAUUAUGUGUUAUCUUAUCAUAUUUACAAAACUGUUUUGGACGUUUGUAAACAACGGCGGUAUAUAGUAAAUAAACGUUCGAUUGUUAUUGCAAUUU